UUGGAGGGCAAGUCUGGUGCCAGCAGCCGCGGUAAUUCCAGCUCCAAUAGCGUAUAUUAAAGUUGUUGCAGUUAAAAAGCUCGUAGUUGAAUUUCGGGGUUAGUAGGUUGGUCAUGCCUCUGGUAUGUACUGGUCUCACUGAUUCCUCCUUCCUGAUGAUCCGUAAUGCCAUUUAUUUGGUGUUGCGGGGAAUUUGGACUGUUACUUUGAAAAAAUUAGAGUGUUUAAAGCAAGCUAACGCUUGAAUACAUUAACAUGGAAUAAUGAAAUAGGACGUUCGAUCCUAUUUUGUUGGUUUCUAGGAUUGACGUAAUGAUUAAUAGGGAUAGUUGGGGGCAUUAGUAUUCAAUUGUCAGAGGUGAAAUUCUUGGAUUUAUUGAAGACUAACUACUGCGAAAGCAUUUGCCAAGGAUGUUUUCAUUAAUCAAGAACGAAAGUUAGGGGAUCGAAGACGAUCAGAUACCGUCGUAGUCUUAACCAUAAACUAUGCCGACUAGGGAUCGGAUGAUGUUAAUUUUUUAAUGACUCAUUCGGCGCCUUACGGGAAAC
rnacentral:rRNA from 1 species